CCAACUGGGAUUACCUUAGUAACGGCGAGUGAAGCGGUAAAAGCUCAAAUUUGAAAUCUGGUACUUUCAGUGCCCGAGUUGUAAUUUGUAGAAUUUGUCUUUGAUUAGGUCCUUGUCUAUGUUCCUUGGAACAGGACGUCAUAGAGGGUGAGAAUCCCGUUUGGCGAGGAUACCUUUUCUCUGUAAGACUUUUUCGAAGAGUCGAGUUGUUUGGGAAUGCAGCUCAAAGUGGGUGGUAAAUUCCAUCUAAAGCUAAAUAUUGGCGAGAGACCGAUAGCGAACAAGUACAGUGAUGGAAAGAUGAAAAGAACUUUGAAAAGAGAGUGAAAAAGUACGUGAAAUUGUUGAAAGGGAAGGGCAUUUGAUCAGACAUGGUGUUUUUUGCAUGCACUCGCCUCUCGUGGGCUUGGGCCUCUCAAAAAUUUCACUGGGCCAACAUCAAUUCUGGCAGCAGGAUAAAUCAUUAAGAAUGUAGCUACUUCGGUAGUGUUAUAGCUUUUUGGAAUACUGUUAGCCGGGAUUGAGGACUGCGCUUCGGCAAGGAUGUUGGCAUAAUGGUUAAAUGCCGCCCGUCUUGAA
rnacentral:rRNA from 1 species